AGAGUUUGAUCAUGGCUCAGAACGAACGCUGGCGGCAUGCCUAACACAUGCAAGUCGAACGCUCCCGGGGCUUCGGUCUUGGGGGAGUGGCGCACGGGUGAGUAGCGCGUGGGAACCUGCCCUGUUGUGGGGGAUAACCGAGGGAAACUUCGGCUAAUACCGCAUAAGCCGGCUGUCUUGAGAGAGAUGGCCGGGAAAGAUUUAUCGCGACAGGAGGGGCCCGCGUCGGAUUAGGUAGUUGGCGGGGUAACGGCCCACCAAGCCGGUGAUCCGUAGCUGGUCUGAGAGGAUGAUCAGCCACACUGGGACUGAGACACGGCCCAGACUCCUACGGGAGGCAGCAGUGGGGAAUAUUGGACAAUGGGCGCAAGCCUGAUCCAGCAAUGCCGCGUGAGUGAUGAAGGCCUUAGGGUUGUAAAGCUCUUUCGCCCGCGACGAUGAUGACGGUAGCGGGAGAAGAAGCCCCGGCUAACUUCGUGCCAGCAGCCGCGGUAAUACGAAGGGGGCGAGCGUUGUUCGGAAUCACUGGGCGUAAAGGGCGCGUAGGCGGCCCUCCUUGUCGCGUGUGAAAGCCCCGGGCUCAACCUGGGAACGGCGCGCGAGACGGGGGGGCUGGAGUUCGGGAGAGGAGCGUGGAAUUCCCAGUGUAGAGGUGAAAUUCGUAGAUAUUGGGAAGAACACCGGUGGCGAAGGCGGCGCUCUGGACCGAGACUGACGCUGAGGCGCGAAAGCGUGGGGAGCAAACAGGAUUAGAUACCCCAGUAGUCC
rnacentral:rRNA from 1 species